rnacentral:lncRNA from 1 species
GAUGCAGCUUUUUUCCUUCCCCUCUUCUAAAUAAGCUAUUGGCUUCUCUACUUGCCUCUGGGAUCCCGCCCGCGCCGCAGGGUCUUAGGGAGCUGGCUGCUGAAGGACAGUGCAGGUUCUCACACACCACUCCUGGCAAAGGGACCCUGCAGCCCUCGCCCACCCUUUCUGGGGUUCCCUUUCAGGGUUCUCUCCCGAACGUCCCGGGCGAAGACUGCGCAAAGCAGGCGGAUCCGAGCAGCCCCGGGGAGGAUUUUGGCUGCGUCAGUGCUGCGGCCUCGGUGCUCGCGGUUCCGGUGUCCACUGGGUCCCGGGGGGUCCGCCCGCGGAUCAGCCUGGUCAGGGGCGGCUCGGCCGGGACCUUUGCCCCAAACCGCGGACAGCUUUGCGGUUAGAGUGGAAGGCCUGGCCGGGGAACCAAAGCGAAAGGACAGAGGCCUUUAUCUCACAAUUGCCCCACGGCGCCUUCCCUCCGGAUCCCAGGCCGGCAGCCCACGGAGCUGCGAGCGAGCGAGCGGGAGAGUGGGCCGCCCGCACCCAGGCAGCUGCCCGAGUCCGCCCUGGGAGGCCCAGCCGGAGAGACGCCGGGGCUGACCUAGCGAGGUUCUUCCGCACUCGCGACCUCGGGCCAGGCGCCCCCGCCCUUUCCUCCCGCGACUCCCGCCGGCCCGGGCCGGCUGUCCUGGCGGGACUCCGCGUGCCUCCUCCGCAGUCUCGACCCACGACGCCCGGCUGGGCCAGCGGGCAGCCCCAGGCGAUUCCCGGAGCCCCCUCCCCUGGUGGGAACUUCGCGGAGACCGCGAAGCUGCUGUUGGGAGUUGGAGAAACUUUGGAGAAAGAAAAAGCCAAGGAAGCUGGAGUCCUCCCCUGGGCCCGACAGCCCUGAGUCCAGUGGGACUCAGAUGCCUUCUCGGGGCACCGAGAUAGAACUGGGGACCCCGCGCACUGGCUGGGAGGCGGGCUUGCUGGCGCCCAGUUUCGGGUCGGGGUGGCAGGGUCAGCCCUGGCUUAGUCCUGGUAGGAUGGGCACUGAGGGACGCGAGAGCUGUGUCCUCCCCGACGGCGGCUUGAUGCAUCGUAGGGAUCUUUCCUAUGUGGCACCUUCCAUCUUUGUCUCUUCUGUUUUGUAUAAAAUAAUAAUGACAAUAAAAGGCGGGAGGGGAAAAAUGCCUACAUUCUCUAAGAAAAGCCCAACAAUGCCAAAAUAUUAAGGGAGUGUAAUGCUGGCGGUAUGUUAAGAGAGUGGCUUUCAAACUUUCCUACUUGAUGUUGCUGGCUUUGGUACAAUUUUUAAUUAAGAAAAGUUACAUAAAUCUUUAAAAAGAAGACAUUCACUUUCACACAUACUAGACAGCAAUAAUUUUUUAUGCGAGCAUGUUAUUGCCUUAUAAAAUAUUAUGCUGGUUUUGGCUUCUACAUCAAAAGCGUCAAGUUUUAGAAUCAAUCACUUCGUGCUACAUGGUGCCUUCUUUUUGGAAGUGAAAUCAUUCAUGUGUGGGAUUCCCCCUAAUCACCGCUUUCUAUGUGGUGGAAAAGAUAGUUCAAUCUCUGCAUCCACGGAAUUACUGUAAAGGAAGCCACUCAACGUGGCUUUAAAAGGACUUUGAGGCUAGCUACCUGAAUCACUGUCAUCUUAACAUUCUAUUGGCCUUAUCACUGAAAAGAAACAUACAAACUAAAGUUUAAAAUGCAGGGAGUUGUAUUUAAAAAGUUUGAAAGGAAAAAAUAAAGACAUAAACACAAAGUAUGCAUAGAAAUGUUAAUCUUCUCCCCCUGAUGUACAUGACCAAAUAUCUUCUGCUCUACUGACAAACUGGACUGCACUACUGGAUAGUCUGCUUGGACCCAAAUGUAAAAAAGCUGAUGUAAUUUUUUCAGAGAGGGGCACCUGCGACAUUUAAGAUAGUCAGGCUUGUUUUCAUCAUUAUAGAUAAAAUUUGGGGUCAUCUGAGCUAUGGAGUAUGUAAUACCUUUAUUUUUAAUUUAAGUAUGUAAAUAUGGAGUUAUUUUAGUAAUUUUAGAUUUAGUACUGGCAACAUGAUUAUUCUCAUAACUUAAUAAUUGCGUGCAAUUACCAAUUGGCUGCCUG